UGCUGAAGUAAGUUCAGGACUAGCUCCGACAGGUUUAACAGCCACUCGCAUACAACGAGGGUCGCAGUGGAGCCUGGAUCCUUAGGAACUCUGGACACAAGGCGGGGGAUACCCUGGACGGGGUGCCGACCCAUCGCAGGCCACAAUCGCACACAUUCACACACUACGGACAAUUUGGAAAGACCAGUCGUCCUACAACGUAUGUCUUUGGACUGGGGGAAGAAACAAUAGUACCCGGAGGAAACCCCUGAAGCACGGAGAGAACAAGCAAACUCUGCACACACAGGACAGAGGCGGGAUGUUGAAGCAGAGGAAAACGUGCCAAAUAAGUACACCCUAUGGGUGUUACACUAUAUCCAAUGACACAUAAAAUUGACAUUUUGUAGUAAUUUUCACAAUUGAAAUUAUAUUUAAAAAAACAACAACAACAGAUCAGUCACACAUGUCCAAAUAUGUCAAAAAAGCCAAACAUUUC